rnacentral:rRNA from 1 species
AUUGAACGCUGGCGGCAGGCUUAACACAUGCAAGUCGAGCGGGGGAAGGUAGCUUGCUACCGGACCUAGCGGCGGACGGGUGAGUAAUGCUUAGGAAUCUGCCUAUUAGUGGGGGACAACAUCUCGAACGGGAUGCUAAUACCGCAUACGUCAUCCGGGUGAAAGCAGGGGAUCUGCGGACCUUGCGCUACUAGAGGAGCCUAAGUCGGAUUAGCUAGGUGGUGGGGUAAAGGCCUACCAAGGCGACGAUCUGUAGCGGGUCUGAGAGGAUGAUCCGCCACACUGGGACUGAGACACGGCCCAGACUCCUACGGGAGGCAGCAGUGGGGAAUAUUGGACAAUGGGGGGAACCCUGAUCCAGCCAUGCCGCGUGUGUGAAGAAGGCCUUAUGGUUGUAAAGCACUUUAAGCGAGGAGGAGGCUACUUUAGUUAAUACCUAGAGAUAGUGGACGUUACUCGCAGAAUAAGCACCGGCUAACUCUGUGCCAGCCGCCGCUGUAA